rnacentral:rRNA from 1 species
AGUCGAACGAGUUCUCGUUGAUGAUCGGUGCUUGCACCGAGAUUCAACAUGGAACGAGUGGCGGACGGGUGAGUAACACGUGGGUAACCUGCCCUUAAGUGGGGGAUAACAUUUGGAAACAGAUGCUAAUACCGCAUAGAUCCAAGAACCGCAUGGUUCUUGGCUGAAAGAUGGCGUAAGCUAUCGCUUUUGGAUGGACCCGCGGCGUAUUAGCUAGUUGGUGAGGUAAUGGCUCACCAAGGCGAUGAUACGUAGCCGAACUGAGAGGUUGAUCGGCCACAUUGGGACUGAGACACGGCCCAAACUCCUACGGGAGGCAGCAGUAGGGAAUCUUCCACAAUGGACGCAAGUCUGAUGGAGCAACGCCGCGUGAGUGAAGAAGGCUUUCGGGUCGUAAAACUCUGUUGUUGGAGAAGAAUGGUCGCAGAGUAACUGUUGUCGGCGUGACGGUAUCCAACCAGAAAGCCACGGCUAACUACGUGCCAGCAGCCGCGGUAAUACGUAGGUGGCAAGCGUUAUCCGGAUUUAUUGGGCGUAAAGCGAGCGCAGGCGGUUUUUAAGUCUGAUGUGAAAGCCCUCGGCUUAACCGAGGAAGCGCAUCGGAAACUGGGAAACUUGAGUGCAGAAGAGGACAGUGGAACUCCAUGUGUAGCGGUGAAAUGCGUAGAUAUAUGGAAGAACACCAGUGGCGAAGGCGGCUGUCUGGUCAGUAACUGACGAUGAGGCUCGAAAGCAUGGGUAGCGAACAGGAUUAGAUACCCUGGUAGUCCAUGCCGUAAACGAUGAAUGCUAGGUGUUGGAGGGUUUCCGCCCUUCAGUGCCGCAGCUAACGCAUUAAGCAUUCCGCCUGGGGAGUACGACCGCAAGGUUGAAACUCAAAGGAAUUGACGGGGGCCCGCACAAGCGGUGGAGCAUGUGGUUUAAUUCGAAGCAACGCGAAGAACCUUACCAGGUCUUGACAUCUUUUGAUCACCUGAGAGAUCAGGUUUCCCCUUCGGGGGCAAAAUGACAGGUGGUGCAUGGUUGUCGUCAGCUCGUGUCUGAGAUGUUGGGUUAAGUCCCGCAACGAGCGCAACCCUUAUGACUAGUUGCCAGCAUUUAGUUGGGCACUCUAGUAAGACUGCCGGUGACAAACCGGAGGAAGGUGGGGAUGACGUCAAAUCAUCAUGCCCCUUAUGACCUGGGCUACACACGUCUACAAUGGAUGGUACAACGAGUUGCGAGACCGCGAGGUCAAGCUAAUCUCUUAAAGCCAUUCUCAGUUCGGACUGUAGGCUGCAACUCGCCUACACGAAGUCGGAAUCGCUAGUAAUCGCGGAUCAGCACGCCGCGGUGAAUACGUUCCCGGGCCUUGUACACACCGCCCGACACCAUAGAGUUUGUAACACCCGAAGCCGGUGGCGUAACCCUUUUAGGGAGCGAGCCGUCUAAGGUGGGACAAAUGAUUAGGGUGAAGUCGUA